UUUUGAAUGUAAUGUAGGCCUAUGUGUAUUGUUUGCGUGUUAGCAAAUUAGACGUUAUGACAAUUUUUGAAAUAUUUUGAUAACUCAGACACUCAAAAGUAGCCCUCAUCUCGGCGUCACGCCCCGCCUCUUUGUGACUGCAAACACAUUCUUGCACUUGUAUUCUUGCUUUCAAGCCAUAAUUGAACACAGGGCUGCAACAAAACCCAAAAACAGGACUGGACUGACCUGCGGUUUUAUUGCACUUUUGGCAAUCAACUUCAGCUUUUGUCGGGAGAGACGCGAAGAAGCUGACCAAGGGCAAUCUUGAAACGCCACCUACAUAGUUCUCAAGAUGCUGAGAUCAGUGUCGAGGCCCAAGUUAAGAGGAUAGAAAACACACAAAAAGGCACAAAGGAUAGCAUUUGGAUCAACAGGAGAACUUGGAGCAAUGAAGCUGUAUGCUAAUCACACUACUAAUCCCACAGAUGAACUGCAUUUGUAUUUUGUGUAAAAUGCAUAGCAGUAUAAUUAAUAUCAAUUUAAUUAAGAAACGUUUUUCAAAAGUCAUACUGAGUAAAACAUUUUGAAAAUACAUUUAGAAAAGUCACAUUUACAAAUCUUUGAGAAAAUUUAGGUAGCAUUCAGAAAUUUUCAAACUGCAGGAAUUUUAUUUUUUUUAAUAAAACUAGUGUAUUUGUUUCUUUCUUAUGAAAUAGAACAUGUGCAGUAUAUUCAUCAUGAAAAAAUGCAUUGUAUUAAAAUUAAUUUGGGAAAAUGCAGAAUCAUUAAAAUAUUAGUUAAGGUAUGGUAUGUCGUUGGUCAAUCAGUUAUCAAGUUGUUUUUUGCUUUAAUAGAAUUCAUUUCAUUUCUUAUUUUUCUGUUUAUUUGUAAUAACAAGAAUAAGAAAUGUAAAUAUUAGGAAUUUAAUGUUUUAAUAUUGUACAGAUAGGUUGUUAAAUUCUGUAUUAUGCGAUAACUUAAGAAUUGAUUUUAAACUUCACUGUUUGCUUUGAUCGGGUUUGAGCUAAUAAAGAGAAUAAAGUUAAUGGAUUUGU